CCGCGAAUUCGCCCUUUGCACCAGGCGCGAAAACUCCACAAUGUACGGAAGUACGAUGGGGUUAUCUCGAGUGCAGUCCGAUAAGGGCUGCUUUUCCAUAGAGUAAUAUCCUGUGGGAAUAAGAGGGGGGCAAGACUGGUGUCAGCCGCCGCGGUAACACCAGCCCCUCGAGUGGUGGGGACUAUUAUUUGGCCUAAAGCGUCCGUAGCUGGCUGUAUCCGUCCCCCGUUAAAUCCAGCGUCCUAAGCGUUGGACUGCGGGUGAUACCAUACAGCUAGAGGGUGGGAUAGGUGAGCGGUAUUUCUGGGGUAGGGGCGAAAUCCUUUGAUCCCAGGAGGACCACCAGUGGCGAAGGCUGCUCACUAGAACACGCCUGACGGUCAGGGACGAAAGCUGGGGCAGCGAACCGGAUUAGAUACCCGGGUAGUCCCAGCUGUAAACGAUGCUGCUAGGUGUUGGGUCGGCCACGUGCCGCCCCAGUGCCGCAGGGAAGCCGUUAAGCUAGCCGCCUGGGGAGUACGGCCGCAAGGCUGAAACUUAAAGGAAUUGGCGGGGGAGCAC
rnacentral:rRNA from 1 species